GACUGUGAACGCUGGGAAGCAGACCUUCCAAGAACACCUCGCCUGGAGGAACAGAGAUAAAGAUAACCAAGAAGCUAUUCCUGCCCUUGAGAAACCCACUCCGGUGUGCCUCCUGGAAAAGAUGCUUCUUCUUGCUCCUUCCUGCCUUCUUAACCAAAAGUCUGUCUUGAGCAUUGACAUCCCCUGCAGCUCCUCCUACAGACCUCACUUGAGUCUACCCUAGAAUACAAUGAUUACCCGUGGCUUCAUGGCUGUGGUGGACCCCACAA